GACGAACGCUGGCGGCGUGCCUAAUACAUGCAAGUAGAACGCUGAAGGAGGAGCUUGCUUCUCUGGAUGAGUUGCGAACGGGUGAGUAACGCGUAGGUAACCUGCCUGGUAGCGGGGGAUAACUAUUGGAAACGAUAGCUAAUACCGCAUAAUAGUAGAUGUCGCAUGACAUUUGCUUAAAAGGUGCAAUUGCAUCACUACCAGAUGGACCUGCGUUGUAUUAGCUAGUUGGUGAGGUAACGGCUCACCAAGGCAACGAUACAUAGCCGACCUGAGAGGGUGAUCGGCCACAAUGGGAAUGAGAAAAGGCCCAGACUCCUACGGGAGGCAGCAGCAGGGAAUCUUCGGAAAUGGACGGAAGUCUGACCGAGCAACGCCGCGUGAGUGAAGAAGGGUUUCGGAUCGUAAAGCUCUGUUGUAAGAGAAGAACGAGUGUGAGAGUGGAAAGUUCACACUGUGACGGUAUCUUACCAGAAAGGGACGGCUAACUACGUG
rnacentral:rRNA from 1 species